AUCAGAUAUGGUUUCUUGGAUCAUACUUACUACACGGAUAACUGUAGUAAUUCUAGAGCUAAUACGUGCCUCGAGUCCCAGAUUCUUUAGAUGACGGGCGCACUUAUUAGAUCAUGAACCAACCGGGCUUGCUCGGCGUUUGUGGUGACUCUGGAUAACUUAGUAUGAUCGCGUCGGCCUAGUUGCCGGCGACGGAUCCAUAAAAUGUCUGCCCUAUCAACUUACGAUGGUAGGUGAUAUGCCUACCAUGGUUAUGACGGGUAACGGGGAAUCAGGGUUCGAUUCCGGAGAGGGAGCCUGAGAAACGGCUACCACAUCCAAGGAAGGCAGCAGGCGCGCAAAUUACCCACUCUCAGAUAGAGGAGGUAGUAAAGACAAAUAUCGAUGCAGGUCCCAUAUGAGGCUCUGUAAUCGAAAUGAGUGCAUUAUAAAUCCUACAACAAGGAUCCAUUGGAGGGCAAGUCUGGUGCCAGCAGCCGCGGUAACUCCAGCUCCAAUAGCAUAUAUUAAAAUUGCUGCAGUUAAAAAGCUCGUAGUUGGAUCUGGGCAUUGGUGUGGAGGCUGUAUAUGUGCGGUCAUGUGGGGUUCUGCCUUGCAUGGUUGUAUGUUGCAGUAAUUCUAUGCCAUGUCUACUAGCUGUAUCUGUGUGAGGGUUUACUCUCGCAUAGAUGUUGGCGAUUGUGGAGGUGGUUUUCAGUGAUGAUGCUAUCUUCCUUCGCUAAUAUGUGCCUUCAUGCCUUUAAACGGGUGUGUGGUACGGACAGCACGUUUACUUUGAACAAAUUUGAGUGCUCAAAGCAGGCCUUGUCGCCUGAAAAGUCUUGCAUGGAAUAAUAGAAUAGGACUUCGGUCCUAUUUUGUUGGUUUAACAGAACUGAAGUAAUGAUAAAGAGAGACAGACGGGGGCAUUUGUAUGGCAGCGCGAGAGGUGAAAUUCGUGGACCGUUGCCAGACAACCUAAAGCGAAAGCAUCUGCCAAGUAUGUUUUCAUUUACCAGGAGCGAAAGUCAGAGGUUCGAAGACGAUCAGAUACCGUCCUAGUUCUGACCAUAAACGAUGCCAUCUGAUGAUCCGUGGGAUUUCCUUUUGUGAGCCCACGGGCAAUCCCCGGGAAACCUGUAAGAUUAUGGGUUCCGGGGAAAGUAUGGUUGCAAAGCUGAAACUUAAAGGAAUUGACGGAAGGGCACCACCAGGAGUGGAGCUUGCGGCUUAAUUUGACUCAACACGGGGAAACUCACCCGAACCGGACACUAUGGUGAUAGACAGAUUGGUUGUUCUUUCUUGAUUUGGUGGCUAGUGGUGCAUGGCCGUUCUUAGUUCGUGGUACGAGCUGUCUGGUUAAUUCCGUUAACGAACGAGAUUCUACCCUGCUAAUUAGUCCAUGUGUAACUUUGUGUGGAUUUCAUGUGGUUCAGCAAUGGACCAUGUUGUUCUGCAUGAGCAUGUGGUACUUCUUAGAGGGAUUGGUGGAUAGCCAAAUCACAAGAAAAAGAGCAAUAACAGGUCUGUGAUGCCCUUAGAUGUUCGGGGCCGCACGCGUGCUACACUGACAAUGGUAGAGAGUUUGAUUCCUAGCUCGAAAGAGUAGAGGCAAGCUUUUCAAUUAUUGUCGUGCCUGGGAUCGGGGUUUGUAAUUAUCCCCCGUGAACCAGGAAUUCCUAGUAAGCACAAGUCAUCAGCUUGUGCUGAAUACGUCCCUGCCCUUUGUACACACCGCCCGUCGCUACUACCGAUUGAAUGGUUUAGCAAGGUCAAUGGAUUGACUUCAUCACGGUGCAAGCUGUAUGUCGUUGAGACGCUGACCGUACUUCCUCGGCAGA
rnacentral:rRNA from 1 species